GGUCGGGUCCCAUGCAAGCGAUGCGCGUGAACCUGGUCAGGCGGGGAACCGUGCAGCCAUAAGCGAUUGCGUUGCUGUGCCGUGGUAAACCCGACCACU
rnacentral:SRP_RNA from 1 species